rnacentral:rRNA from 1 species
AACGUAGGAGACAAACGUUAUCCGGAGUUACUGGGCGUAAAGGGCGUGUAGGUGGUUUCGUAAGUCUGGCGUGAAAUUUCUCGGCUUAACCGAGGCAGGUCGUCGGAUACUGCGGAACUUGAGGACGGUAGAGGCGUGUGGAAUUCCGGGUGUAGUGGUGAAAUGCGUAGAGAUCCGGAGGAACACCAGUGGCGAAGGCGACACGCUGGGCCGUACCUGACACUGAUGCGCGACAGCAUGGGGAGCAAGCAGG